rnacentral:rRNA from 1 species
AACGUGGGUAACCUGCCUUAUAGUGGGGGAGUAGCCUUUCAAAGAAGAUUAAUACCGCAUAAGAUUGUAGUAUCGCAUGAUAUAGCAAUUAAAGGAGCAAUUCGCUAUAAGAUGGACCCGCGUCGCAUUAGCUAGUUGGUGAGGUAAUGGCUCACCAAGGCGACGAUGCGUAGCCGACCUGAGAGGGUGAUCGGCCACAUUGGGACUGAGACACGGCCCAGACUCCUACGGGAGGCAGCAUG